AUCUCUAUAGUGCAAUGGAUAACGCGUUGGACUUCUUAUCCAAAGUUCGUGGGCUUGAAUCCCACCUGGGAUG